rnacentral:rRNA from 1 species
UAAAACGUAGGGGGCAAGCGUUGCCCGGAUUCACUGGGCGUAAAGCGCGUGUAGGCGGUCCGUUAAGUCGGAUGUGAAAUCUCUGGGCUUAACCCAGAAAUCGCACCCGAUACUGGCGGACUUGAGGACGGUAGAGGUAGGUGGAAUUCCGGGUGUACCGGUGAAAUGGACAGAUAUCCGGAGGAACACCAGUGGCGAAGGCGGCCUACUGGGCCGAUCCUGACGCUGAGACGCGAAAGCCAGGGGAGCGAACCGGAUUAGAUACCCGGGUAGUCCUGGCCGUAAACGGUGCGGACUAGGUGUGGGGGGCGUCAUGCCUUCUGUGCCGAAGCUAACGCAUUAAGUCCGCCGCCUGGGGAGUACGGCCGCAAGGCUA